UCCCUGGUUGUCUAGUGGUAAGGAUUGGCGCUCUCUCGGGCCCGGGUUCGAUUCCCGGUCAGGGAA